rnacentral:rRNA from 1 species
GACGAACGCUGGCGGCGUGCUUAACACAUGCAAGUCGAACGGAAAGGCCCCCUUGUGGGGUACUCGAGUGGCGAACGGGUGAGUAACACGUGAGUAACCUACCCUUGACUUUGGGAUAACUUCAGGAAACUGGGGCUAAUACCGGAUAGGAGCCCCUGCUGCAUGGUGGGGGUUGGAAAGUUUCGGCGGUUGGGGAUGGACUCGCGGCUUAUCAGCUUGUUGGUGGGGUAGUGGCUCACCAAGGCUUUGACGGGUAGCCGGCCUGAGAGGGUGACCGGCCACAUUGGGACUGAGAUACGGCCCAGACUCCUACGGGAGGCAGCAGUGGGGAAUAUUGCACAAUGGGCGGAAGCCUGAUGCAGCAACGCCGCGUGCGGGAUGACGGCCUUCGGGUUGUAAACCGCUUUCGCCUGUGACGAAGCGUGAGUGACGGUAAUGGGUAAAGAAGCACCGGCUAACUACGUG